AGGGGAGCGUUCUGUAAGCGGUUGAAGGUGUGUGGUAACGCAUGCUGGACGUAUCAGAAGUGCGAAUGCUGACAUGAGUAACGAUAAAGGGGGUGAAAAACCUCCUCGCCGGAAGACCAAGGGUUCCUGUCCAACGUUAAUCGGGGCAGGGUAAGUCGACCCCUAAGGCGAGGCCGAAAGGCGUAGUCGAUGGGAAACGGGUUAAUAUUCCCGUACUUCUUACAAUUGCGAUGGGGGGACGGAGAAGGCUAGGUGGGCCUGGCGACGGUUGUCCAGGUUCAAGUGCGUAGGCUUAAGAGUUAGGUAAAUCCGGCUCUUUCUAAGGCUGAGACACGACGUCGAGC
rnacentral:rRNA from 1 species